UACGGGGGGAGCAAGCGUUGUUCGGAUUUACUGGGCGUAAAGGGCGCGUAGGCGGCGUGACAAGUCACUUGUGAAAUCUCCGGGCUUAACUCGGAACGGUCAAGUGAUACUGUCGGACUAGAGUACAGAAGGGGCAACUGGAAUUCUCGGUGUAGCGGUGAAAUGCGCAGAUAUCAGGAGGAACACCGGUGGCGAAGGCGGUUCUCUGGGCAUGUCCUGACGCUGAGGAGCGAAAGUGUGGGGAGCGAACAGG
rnacentral:rRNA from 1 species